GGGGACCCGCAAGCGGUGGAUGAUGUGGAUUAAUUCGAUGCAACGCGAAAAACCUUACCUACCCUUGACAUGUACGGAAGGCCGGAGAGAUCUGGCUGUGCUCGAAAGAGAACCGUAACACAGGUGCUGCAUGGCUGUCGACAGCUCGUGUCGUGAGAUGUUGGGUUAAGUCCCGCAACGAGCGCAACCCUUGUCAUUAGUUGCUACGAAAGGGCACUCUAAUGAGACUGCCGGUGACAAACCGGAGGAAGGUGGGGAUGACGUCAAGUCCUCAUGCCCCUUAUGGGUAGGGCUUCACACGUCAUACAAUGGUACAUACAGAGGGCCGCCAACCCGCGAGGGGGAGCUAAUCCCAGAAAGUGUAUCGUAGUCCGGAUUGUAGUCUGCAACUCGACUACAUGAAGUUGGAAUCGCUAGUAAUCGCGGAUCAGCAUGUCGCGGUGAAUACGUUCCCGGGUCUUGUACACACC
rnacentral:rRNA from 1 species